rnacentral:lncRNA from 1 species
UUGGGGAUCUGCAUCACUGAUUCAAUAUUUGUCUUCUCCACUAGAUGGCAAACUCCAGGAGGGCGGGGUCUACAUGAGUUGUGAUUGUAUACUGAAACAGUGCACAUAAAAAGUAUUCUUCCCUAAUUUCCUUCAGACCAUCAAUUCUUUCUUGGGCUUCAGUGACUUCAUCUAUAAUGGUUCAAAGAUUUACAAAUCAUCACCAAAUGGCUCCAGAAUUGCUACCGCAGGAAAGGAGGUCUAUAAAAUGGGAUUACAGGGUGAGAAGAAGAUGAGUUAUUUUACCCAAAGUCUACUGAUGUGACAGACAAUUUACAUAGAGCAUCAUGUCAGAUCUUCCCAGUGGACUAUCAGAUAAGUGAGAGUGCC